rnacentral:lncRNA from 13 species
CUAGAAAUGUAAACACCGAUAUAAUUCCAAAUCUCAGUGUUUUUAUUUUUAUUUAUGACUUUUUUUGAGAUACAGUCUCCCUCUGUCGCCCAGGCUGGUGGUACAAUCUUGGCUCACUGAAGCCUCCGCCCGAGUAGCAGGGAUGACAGGCACUCACCACCACGCCUGGCUAACUUUUGUAUUUUUAGUAAAGACAGGGUUUCACCAUAUUGGUCAGGCUGGUCUCGAACUCCUGACCUCAAGUGAUCCACCCACCUAAACCUCCCAAAGUGCUAGAAUUACAGGUGUGAGCCACUGCACCCCGCCCCACAUCUGAGUCUUUCCUACCACACCACACUGUAUUCCUGCAAGAUAAUCUGCUCUCCUUUCAAGCUUGCAAUAGAGAAUUCAGAUGUCUGCAAUUGAAGGAGUUAAGUGUGCAUUUGUUUUAAAUAACUGGAAGCUUCCAGGCUGUGGGAAUUUGCAAGGCCUACUGCAGGCUGGGUGGGGGACAGGGAAUCCUUCACUGUCCCAGCUGUUUUAAUUCUCACAGAGCGGAUUGUUCAUUCUGAUCCUCUUGGUGACCCACAUGCUGAACAGAGCAGUGGGUGAGUGAACAGAGGAGAGAGGAGAGGGUUCCCCUAGGCUUGCCUUUGCAGUCCAAUGCCAGGUGUAAGCCACCACGCCUGGCCUGUAAGGGAUGCUUUUUGGGGAAGUGGACACAGCUGGACUGUGAGGGGAGGGAAGGGAAGGAUUUCGCAGUGGGAAAAUUCAGAAGAUUAGAACACUGUGGACAUGGUGGCCACACCCCUCCCCAUUGUCUUUAUGAGCAUCUGUAUGUUGAUGGCCCUCUAAGGACUCAGUCACCCUUCUGAGCUCCCAAUUCACAUACCUGAGGUUAGCCUGACAUUUCUAUUUGGUUGCCUAAUGAACACACCAAGCCUGACAUGAAUUCUUCACUCGUAACCUGAAACAGGUUAUUUCCCCAGAAUGGCGGAUUCACACCUGCCUCAGCCACACACCCCAUCACAAAACCAGAAGCCUAGGAGUGCUCCCGUCACCUUCCUCUUUCUUUCAC